AUUGAACGCUGGCGGCAGGCUUAACACAUGCAAGUCGAACGAGUGGCGGACGGGUGCGUAAUGCUUGCGAAUCUGGCUUCUGGCUGGGGAUAACUGCUGGAAACUGUAGCUAAUACCGCGUACUACAGUAUGAGCCCUAGUGGGAUUAGGUAGUUGGUGGGGUAAAGGCUCACCAAGCCGACGAUCCCUAGCCGGUCUGAGAGGAUGACCAGCCACACUGGGACUGAGACACGGCCCAGACUCCUACGGGAGGCAGCAGUGGGGAAUAUUGCGCAAUGGGGGCAACCUGACGCAGCCAUGCCGCGUGAAUGAAGAAGGUUUUCGGGUUGUAAAGUUCUUUCGGUAGGGAGGCGUUAACUACAGAAGAAGCACCGGCUAACUCCGUGCCAGCAGGCGCGGUAAUAC
rnacentral:rRNA from 1 species